AUUGAACGCUGGCGGCAGGCCUAACACAUGCAAGUCGAGCGGAUGAUGGGAGCUUGCUCCUGGAUUCAGCGGCGGACGGGUGAGUAAUGCCUAGGAAUCUGCCUGGUAGUGGGGGACAACGUUUCGAAAGGAGCGCUAAUACCGCAUACGUCCUACGGGAGAAAGCAGGGGACCUUCGGGCCUUGCGCUAUCAGAUGAGCCUAGGUCGGAUUAGCUUGUUGGUGAGGUAAUGGCUCACCAAGGCGACGAUCCGUAACUGGUCUGAGAGGAUGAUCAGUCACACAGGAACUGAGACACGGUCCAGACUCCGACGGGAGGCAGCGGUGGGGAAUAUUGGACAAUGGGCGAAAGCAUAAUUCAGCCAUGCCGCGUGUGUGAAGAAGGUCUUCGGAUUGUAAAGCACUUUAAGUUGGGAGGAAGGGUUGUAGAUUAAUACUCUGCAAUUUUGACGUUACCGACAGAAUAAGCACCGGCUAACUCUGUGCCAGCAGCCGCAGUAAUAC
rnacentral:rRNA from 1 species